CCUACGGGUGACAGCAGUGAGGAAUAUUGGUCAAUGGGCGCUAGCCUGAACCAGCCAAGUAGCGUGAAGGAUGACUGCCCUAUGGGUUGUAAACUUCUUUUAUAUGGGAAUAAAGUGCAGUAUGUAUACUGCUUUGCAUGUACCUUAUGAAUAAGGAUCGGCUAACUCCGUGCCAGCAGCCGCGGUAAUACGGAGGAUCCGAGCGUUAUCCGGAUUUAUUGGGUUUAAAGGGAGCGUAGAUGGGUUGUUAAGUCAGUUGUGAAAGUUUGCGGCUCAACCGUAAAAUUGCAAUUGAUACUGGCAGCCUUGAGUACAGUUGAGGUAGGCGGAAUUCGUGGUGUAGCGGUGAAAUGCUUAGAUAUCACGAAGAACUCCGAUUGCGAAGGCAGCCUACUAAACUGCCACUGACAUUGAUGCUCGAAAGUGUGGGUAUCAAACAGGAUUAGAUACCCGAGUAGUC
rnacentral:rRNA from 1 species